rnacentral:rRNA from 1 species
AGCGAACGCUGGCGGCAGGCCUAACACAUGCAAGUCGAACGAACCUUUCGGGGUUAGUGGCGGACGGGUGAGUAACACGUGGGAACGUGCCUUUAGGUUCGGAAUAACUCAGGGAAACUUGUGCUAAUACCGAAUGUGCCCUUCGGGGGAAAGAUUAAUCGCCUUUAGAGCGGCCCGCGUCUGUUUAGCUAGUUGGUUGGGGUAAUGGCUCACCAAGGCGACGAUCAGUAGCUGGUCGGAGAAGAUGAUCAGCCACAUUGGGACUGAGACACGGCCCAAACUCCUACGGGAAGCAGCAGUGGGGAAUCUUGCGCAAUGGGCGAAAGCCUGACGCAGCCAUGCCGCGUGAAUGAUGAAGGUCUUAGGAUUGUAAAAUUCUUUCACCGGGGACGAUAAUGACGGUACCCGGAGAAGAAGCCCCGGCUAACUUCGUG